rnacentral:rRNA from 1 species
AACGAACGCUGGCGGCAGGCCUAACACAUGCAAGUCGAACGGGACCUUCGGGUCUAGUGGCGGACGGGUGAGUAACGCGUGGGAACGUGCCCUUUGGUUCGGAAUAGCCCCGGGAAACUGGGAGUAAUACCGGAUAAGCCCUACGGGGGAAAGAUUUAUCGCCAAAGGAUCGGCCCGCGUUGGAUUAGGUAGUUGGUGAGGUAAUAGCUCACCAAGCCGACGAUCCAUAGCUGGUUUGAGAGGAUGAUCAGCCACACUGGGACUGAGACACGGCCCAGACUCCUACGGGAGGCAGCAGUGGGGAAUCUCAGACAAUGGGGGAAACCCUGAUCUAGCCAUGCCGCGUGAUCGAUGAAGGCCUUAGGGUUGUAAAGAUCUUUCAGUGGGGAAGAUAAUGACUGUACCCCAAGAAGAAGCCCCGGCUAACUCCGUGCCAGCCGCCGCCGUAAGAC